AUUGAACGCUGGCGGCAGGCCUAACACAUGCAAGUCGAACGGUAACAGGAAGCAGCUUGCUGCUUCGCUGACGAGUGGCGGACGGGUGAGUAAUGUCUGGGAAACUGCCUGAUGGAGGGGGAUAACUACUGGAAACGGUAGCUAAUACCGCAUAACGUCGCAAGACCAAAGAGGGGGACCUUAGGGCCUCUUGCCAUCGGAUGUGCCCAGAUGGGAUUAGCUAGUAGGUGGGUAACGGCUCACCUAGGCGACGAUCCCUAGCUGGUCUGAGAGGAUGACCAGCCACACUGGAACUGAGACACGGUCCAGACUCCUACGGGAGGCAGCAGUGGGGAAUAUUGCACAAUGGGCGCAAGCCUGAUGCAGCCAUGCCGCGUGUAUGAAGAAGGCCUUCGGGUUGUAAAGUACUUUCAGCGGGGAGGAAGGGAGUAAAGUUAAUACCUUUGCUCAUUGACGUUACCCGCAGAAGAAGCACCGGCUAACUCCGUG
rnacentral:rRNA from 1 species